GGGAGGAUAAGAAAAUAAAGCAAAACCAGAUAUUCUUCCAAAGUCUACUUGCUAUGCAAAUUAGAGUCAGUUUGAAAGUUGUUUUGCUUUGACCAUUUGUAGUAGUCCUGGUAACACUGUCCAUUGUUGGAUUGCAAUCGCCUAUCCAUUAAGAAAACAUUUCCCGGAUGGUUGUUGUCGAUAAGUGUACAUGUUAAGAACAGCUCCACGCAAAAUAUCUGUGAUAAAUAGCAUUAAACUGAAAUCUAAAAA